rnacentral:rRNA from 1 species
AUGAUAGUAUUAUACUGGUAUCCCAUCGUCGCAGCGGCUGCCUUUCUUGGCCUUGUUCAAAGUCCGCACGCACGAGGCCACCAACCCAACCUUUGUGCCAAGUCCAGUCCGGCGGUCAACCCAACCAUCCCGGUCACAGUCCACACCAAUCCCCAGUUCCCCACCCACCCUGCGUGCAGUCCACUGCCUAUUUAA